rnacentral:rRNA from 1 species
GUCUGAUUAGCUGGUUGGUGAGUAACGGCUCUACCAAGGCAACGAUCAGUAGCCGGCUUGAGAGAGUGAACGGCCACAUUGGGACUGAGACACGGCCCAAACUCCUACGGGAGGCAGCAGUGGGGAAUAUUGCACAAUGGGGGAAACCCUGAUGCAGCGACGCCGCGUGAGUGAAGAAGUAUUUCGGUAUGUAAAGGUCUAUCAGCAAGGAAGAAGAGAGACGGUACUUGACUAAGAAGCCCCGGCUAACUAC